AACAAGGCGUACCUGCGGACCUGCGGAAGGAUCAUUACCGAGUGUGAACCCCCCCGUAAAAAAGAGGGGUUACCUCCCGUCCUUUGCUGGGAACCCCUUUCCAACUUGGAAGGAGGUUGUUUUCAGACCCUUCUGCUUCGGUGGGGUAACCCACCGGAACAACCUCAAAAAUAUUCUCAAUUCAAAACCGUUCAGUCCGAGAACUUUUUUGAAAAGCGAAAAAACUUUCAACAAUGGAUC
rnacentral:misc_RNA from 1 species